AGAGAGAAGAGAGAGAGAGAGAGGGCGUGACCUAGAGAGAGAAGGAGAAGAAGAAAGAAAGGAAGAAGAAGAAGAAGAAGAAGAAAGGGUUCAAGCUAGGGUUCAAGCUAAGGGUUUGAGCAAGGAGGUUAUUGGACUCUUGAUUGGAUUUGAUUCUUGAUUUUCUAUCAAGAAGAGGUAGAAAAUAGGAUUUCUUUAUGGCACGCGUGGUGACGUGAGGAGUUUUUUCAUCAUGGGGUGUAUGGCGUGGGGUAAUCCUAUGGACGGAAAAACGAUCAACGUAGAACGCCAUUUAAAUUAUGUUUUGUUUUUAAGAGACUUUCCUAAAUUAUCAGUGGGACUCAGUUAUUUAAUUUUUGGUUUCUUUGAACUUUGCAUAAAAAUCUAUGUUUUAUUUUAAAACUUAUGGCGCCAACUUGCAUGGUUUUAAACAAGUCCCCCUGAGACUUUGAUAAUGAAUGGUAUUCUUUUAUAAACUA